CCCUACAAAUUACAUUUACAGUUUCUGAGACCAGACGAAAUUUCCACUAGACACUUACCAAUGAGAUCAGUUCCAGAAGUGAGACCUAAUAGAAUAUUCUCCCUAUGAAAAAAACAAACCCUCACAUCACCUACACUCUCACAUAGACUGAGAGGGGUAAAGAAUGUUGGUGAUUCUGAGCUAAACAGCUGGAAUUUAGAAUGUUUUCUGAAGUUGGGUUCUGAUCAGCAGCAUUGUCUUCCCAUCAUGAGAAGCAGAUGCAUUAUGGGAUGGGAGGGUAACUUUUGCCUGCCCAAAGGCUAGAUGAAAGAUAAGUACAGUGGUGUAGAAGGAGAAUUUGGACAGAAAUGAAGAAACCUAGAUUUCAAACUGAUGCCUGCCCAAUAUGAGCAAACUGAGCCUUAAGGAAACUAAAUGACUCCUCCCUACCUGUUCGGGGUAUUGCCACCAUUCUGAGACUCAGCAGAUCCUCAUGUGAAAAGCUGAAAUGGGAAACAUGUACCUCAGAACUGAACAGAACUAAAAUUGUGACCUUCAGCUUCUCAGUCAGGAUAUCAUUCCUCCUCACAAAUGAACUAUGGUUUUUGAAGACAAGAGUAUUAUUAGACUGGAAGAAGAUCAGAAAAC
rnacentral:lncRNA from 1 species